rnacentral:rRNA from 1 species
GUCCACGCUGUAAACUAUAGAUACUCGCUGUAGCUGGUAAUCAUUCCGGCUGUGGCUUAGCUAACGCGAUAAGUAUCUCGCCUGGGAAGUACGGUCGCAAGAUUAAAAACUCAAAGGAAUUGACGGGGGGCCCGCACAAGCGGUGGAUUAUGUGGUUUAAUUCGAAGCAACGCGCAAAAACCUUACCUGGCCUUGACUUGCCCAUGACCGGUGCAGAAAUGCACCUUCCCUUCGGGGCAUGGGACACAGGUGCUGCAUGGCUGUCGU